GACUAUGGCCACACCACCCCGAAUGCAUCCGAUCUCGUCUGAUCUCAGAAGCUAAGCAGGGUCGGGCCUGGUUAUUACUUGGAUGGGAGAUCUGCACAAGUAACACCAUACUUCAUUGUCU
rnacentral:rRNA from 1 species